AAGGGGAAGCAGUUCCCUUGAGAGCUCUAGGAAGGAGUUUGGGGAGUGGGUCAUGGUAGGAAGGGGGAAGCUACCAAAGCCCCUACGAGAUGACUACUGUAUCCACAACCAGGACUGUAGCUGGCAGUGUGGAGCCGAGUCUUGGAGAGAGUUCAUGAUCUUGGAAUACUUUUUACAGAACGUGGAAAGCCAGGCAGAUACAUCUCUACACACACUGCUCUGGAAAUGGGGAACAAUCAAAGUAAGAAAGUGUCUGGCAUAAAGGGGCAACAAGGAAGAGUGAGAACAUUCUCAGUAACAACUACUAUCACAGGGAAGCUUUUUGUCAGACAAAUUGCUGACAGACACCUGCCAAAAGAAUGUCAAGGAUCAACUCAAGUCAAAGGACAAUGAGACAAGGGCACUACUGACAUCUGGUGGCUAAAGACCCUGUAAACACAAAUUGAGUUGCUCAAGCCUGUACCUGUAACUUACUGGUUCCCAGUAAUAACUGAAGAGGGCAGUCAUAAAUGACCCAACUCCAGUUGCAAACCACCUCCUUCUCUGUUCCACUGCCCUUUAUGUAUAUUGGAUGCAAUAAGUCCUGCUUAAUUACAUGCCACAGACCCUAAUUACUGUUUUAACUAAAAAAGUUUCCCAUUUAGCUGAGGUAGCAAGAGUUCUAUGCUUUAAGGUCAUAAAAGUCUGGCUUCUAUGCAUGCUAGUGCUGUAAAGUCCUGCAUGGCUUCAAUGUACAACAUGCUGAGAUUUCUUAGUGUAUUAGUAGCCUUGUGGGGGCGGGGGGGAAAUUGACAUAAAACAGAAUAAAUGGG